UAAUCGAUGCAUGUAUAAUAUUGGGCAAAGGGAAGAGGCUAUUGCCAGAUCCGGGAGGCUGUGGGUUCUAGCAGCAGACUUCCAAGACACCCCAAGGAAUGGGGCAGAAAAUGGCUCUGGACAUGCCCAUGCCCCUUCAUGCCACGUUUCUUGAGGAGCUCUGAUAUGAAGUGGAAGAGGGUGGGGAUUCCCAGGACCGUGCCUGAAGAGCCCUGCAUUUUAAGGGGGUGGAGCAGAGGGAGCAGCCCAGGGGAGCAGCAGGAGGACACGCCAGGUGCUGAGGACGUAUCUGAAGGGGAAACUUUAUUAAUCUCUGGACAGGAAAGGAGGCGGGAUGCCUAUGGGACCGUCCUGAAUUGCUGUCCUACGAUGGUCGGGCCCUGCCGGAGAGAGGGUUCCUCCGACUUUGCCAGGGCUACUGAGAAGGGGACACAGUCCUGGGCCCAAGAGUGA
rnacentral:lncRNA from 10 species